rnacentral:ribozyme from 1 species
UGCCCAGCAACUCCUAUCCCUAUCUCCGCGUGGCACUGGCCGGGCUGCGAGUAGCCCUAGGGAAGAUCGGGUAACCAACUCCGGUGGGAAGUUAGAUCGUAGGCUGACAGGGAAGA